UGCAACCGUGAUCUCAUCAGCCCAAAACCGAAAUUCCAUAUAUUUUUUUGAUCGCAGCUUUCCUCUUCCUCCUCCUCCGACGUUUCCUUGUUGCUGCAGUUGGAAUCCACACGACAACCUGCCCAUCCAAAUCAAUUUCACCACCCAUAUUCUUCCACAUCGUUCUAAACCCAAAACCCAGAUCGCUGUUGCUCAUCCAAAACCCACACAGCCGCCGCCACCACCACUUCAUCCACCACCACGUUUUACAAAUUCCUCUUGACUGAAGUUAAGCCGCUGCUAGCUUUUGAGUAUCAAUUCAUUAUUAUGUGCUGUUAUCAGAACUGUCUCUUCUUUUUUGGAAAUGGUUCGUAAUUGCUGUAAACUACGAAUUUAACACCCACAGCGGAGCACGGACACUUUUGCUCGUUUAACCUAAAGUCAAAACCCAGUACA